rnacentral:sRNA from 1 species
GUGGAACUUCCAAAGCUCCCGGUUACUAGCUUUAUAUGUCACACACUGACAAAAAUAAAUCAUUAUUAUUGGAAUGGCUUCAGUGUUUGAUGCACUAGUACAUUAGAUCUCUUGUAUUUGCCACCUUUAUCCAUCUCAAUAAUCAUCUUUGAAGUUUGUUCGGAGGAACAAAAUUAGCAGGGAGGGGAGGCUGCAUGGUACAAACCUAAGCAAGAACUUGAUACUUACAGAUGACCUACUAAUGGAAGACCAUGAGCAGGGACCGAAUCUAAGCCCCUUUGUCUGCGUUGUUCAAUCCAGCAUGUUAAGCAACCCUCAUUGCGCACUUGAUUGAAAGGUCUUGUACAUCAAGGAAGCUCUGCCACAAUUCGUUAGUUAUCUAGCUUCUGGUUUCGUAGCUUCUAUGUAGGCCAAUAGUACUUUAAGCACUUUAAUUAUUACUCGCACUCUUCUCAUAUCUGCUAUAAUCAUGCAAAUCACAAUGCAUAUUUUUUGUAUAGAUAAUUCUGCAAAUUGGAAUUUCUUUGAUGCUCUGUGGCUUAACAAUUUGUUCUGCAAUAGUAAUAUAUGCACAAUCUAGUUCUAAACAUCAGAAAAUCUUGAAAACCGGUUGUUCAGUUCGACAAAAAUGGCAAUUUCUAGUAGAACUGACAGAACCAGUUGUUGAAUUCGAGACAUUCAGUUGAAGUA